AUACCGCAUACGCCCUACGGGGGAAAGCAGGGGAUCUUCGGACCUUGCGCUAAUAGAUGAGCCUAAGUCAGAUUAGCUAGUUGGUGGGGUAAAGGCCUACCAAGGCGACGAUCUGUAGCGGGUCUGAGAGGAUGAUCCGCCACACUGGGACUGAGACACGGCCCAGACUCCUACGGGAGGCAGCAGUGGGGAAUAUUGGACAAUGGGCGCAAGCCUGAUCCAGCCAUGCCGCGUGUGUGAAGAAGGCCUUUUGGUUGUAAAGCACUUUAAGCGAGGAGGAGGCUACUUGGAUUAAUACUCUAGGAUAGUGGACGUUACUCGCAGAAUAAGCACCGGCUAACUCUGUGCCAGCAGCCGCGGUAAUACAGAGGGUGCGAGCGUUAAUCGGAUUUACUGGGCGUAAAGCGUGCGUAGGCGGCUUCUUAAGUCGGAUGUGAAAUCCCUGAGCUUAACUUAGGAAUUGCAUUCGAUACUGGGAAGCUAGAGUAUGGGAGAGGAUGGUAGAAUUCCAGGUGUAGCGGUGAAAUGCGUAGAGAUCUGGAGGAAUACCGAUGGCGAAGGCAGCCAUCUGGCCUAAUACUGACGCUGAGGUACGAAAGCAUGGGGAGCAAACAGGAUUAGAUACCCUGGUAGUCCAUGCCGUAAACGAUGUCUACUAGCCGUUGGGGCCUUUGAGGCUUUAGUGGCGCAGCUAACGCGAUAAGUAGACCGCCUGGGGAGUACGGUCGCAAGACUAAAACUCAAAUGAAUUGACGGGGGCCCGCACAAGCGGUGGAGCAUGUGGUUUAAUUCGAUGCAACGCGAAGAACCUUACCUGGUCUUGACAUAGUAAGAACUUUCCAGAGAUGGAUUGGUGCCUUCGGGAACUUACAUACAGGUGCUGCAUGGCUGUCGUCAGCUCGUGUCGUGAGAUGUUGGGUUAAGUCCCGCAACGAGCGCAACCCUUUUCCUUAUUUGCCAGCGGGUUAAGCCGGGAACUUUAAGGAUACUGCCAGUGACAAACUGGAGGAAGGCGGGGACGACGUCAAGUCAUCAUGGCCCUUACGACCAGGGCUACACACGUGCUACAAUGGUCGGUACAAAGGGUUGCUACCUAGCGAUAGGAUGCUAAUCUCAAAAAGCCGAUCGUAGUCCGGAUUGGAGUCUGCAACUCGACUCCAUGAAG
rnacentral:rRNA from 1 species